rnacentral:tRNA from 1 species
UAGCUCAGUUGGUAGAGCAUGGUGUGUGCAACACCAGGGUUGUGGGUUUGAUUCCCAC